rnacentral:rRNA from 1 species
GGGGAAUUUUGCGCAAUGGGGGAAACCCUGACGCAGCAACGCCGCGUGGGUGAUGAAGGCCUUCGGGUCGUAAAGCCCUGUCGGGAGGGAAGAAAUGAUUGAGGGUUAAUACCUCUUGAUCUUGACGGUACCUCCGAAGGAAGCACCGGCUAACUCCGUGCCAGCAGCCGCGGUAAUACGGAGGGUGCAAGCGUUGUUCGGAAUUAUUGGGCGUAAAGCGCGUGUAGGCGGUCUUUUAAGUCUGAUGUGAAAGCCCCGGGCUCAACCUGGGAAGUGCAUUGGAAACUGGGAGACUUGAGUACGGGAGAGGAGAGUGGAAUUCCUAGUGUAGGAGUGAAAUCCGUAGAUAUUAGGAGGAACACCGGUGGCGAAGGCGGCCCCCUGGACGAAGACUGACGCUCAGGCACGAAAGCGUGGGGAGCAAAC